AUUGAACGCCGGCGGCAGGCCUAACACAUGCAAGUCGAGCGGAUGAAGGGAGCUUGCUCCUGGAUUCAGCGGCGGACGGGUGAGUAAUGCCUAGGAAUCUGCCUGGUAGUGGGGGAUAACGUCCGGAAACGGGCGCUAAUACCGCAUACGUCCUGAGGGAGAAAGUGGGGGAUCUUCGGACCUCACGCUAUCAGAUGAGCCUAGGUCGGAUUAGCUAGUUGGUGGGGUAAAGGCCUACCAAGGCGACGAUCCGUAACUGGUCUGAGAGGAUGAUCAGUCACACUGGAACUGGGACACGGUCCAGACUCCUACGGGAGGCAGCAGUGGGGAAUAUUGGACAAUGGGCGAAAGCCUGAUCCAGCCAUGCCGCGUGUGUGAAGAAGGUCUUCGGAUUGUAAAGCACGUUAAGUUGGGAGGAAGGGCAGUAAGUUAAUACCUUGCUGUUUUGACGUUACCAACAGAAUAAGCACCGGCUAACUUCGUG
rnacentral:rRNA from 1 species